GCUUCAGUGGUUUAGUGGUAAAAUUAGCCGUUGCCAAACAGUUUCGGCUAGCCCCGUGUUCGAUUCACGGCUGAUGCA